GUUUGCCUGCCUUGUUAGUGACAGAAGCAAAAACUUUUUCCUACAUUCGUGAAUCUGGAAGUCAGAGAAAGUUAAGUGUUGUGCGCCCUGAGAAUUCGGGGAUUAUGCCUGAUCUUGCUUUCGAGGCCUCCACCUGUUUGACAGGGAUUCAAGUUUUUGUUUUGCACGGCAAGGUGGGUUUCCU
rnacentral:other from 1 species